rnacentral:rRNA from 1 species
UGGGGAAUAUUGCACAAUGGGCGGAAGCCUGAUGCAGCGACGCCGCGUGGGGGAUGAAGGCCUUCGGGUUGUAAACUCCUUUCGACAGGGACGAAGCUUUUGUGACGGUACCUGUAUAAGAAGCACCGGCUAACUACGUGCCAGCAGCCGCGGUAAUACGUAGGGUGCGAGCGUUGUCCGGAAUUACUGGGCGUAAAGAGCUCGUAGGUGGUUUGUCGCGUCGUCUGUGAAAUUCCGGGGCUUAACUCCGGGCGUGCAGGCGAUACGGGCUGACUUGAGUGCUGUAGGGGAGACUGGAAUUCCUGGUGUAGCGGUGAAAUGCGCAGAUAUCAGGAGGAACACCGAUGGCGAAGGCAGGUCUCUGGGCCGUUACUGACACUGAGAAGCGAAAGCAUGGGGAGCGAACAGG